rnacentral:lncRNA from 1 species
GACAUACAAGUUUUUUUUUAUAUAUGAUUGGGUGCAUGAGGAGCCUUAGGGACUUUCAAUCCUUGUUACAAAUUUACAUCAAACCUCUAUACAAAUUUGAAAAUCUUUGAUUCGGGCCUCUAUACAAAUUUGAAAAUCUUUGAUUCAGGACUCGAGGUAUACGAACUCAAGAAAAGAGAAAUAUACAGAGAACCUGAGAAAGUAUCAAUACUACGUGGCGCAUAUGCCCCGUAUGCCUGUCUAUAGGCAGGGAUGCUGCCUAUCUUUCUGCUCCUUCCUGAAUCUAGGCCUUGAAUGAGUCUGAUUGUCACGUGUUCUUCCUCUCUUUCUUUAGAUCCACAUAUUGCAGAGACAACAAUGUUAUUGGUAGCUACUCUCUGUACGUGUGCAAGGAUCUCUUAUGGCUCCUUAACAGUCACCAUGUGAGACUCAGUCAGUUUUGUCCAAAUUCGCAUUCGCAUUCUCCAUAAGGUUGCUUCUUGUUGCGCCUCGCUGCUCUAUGGUAUAAGGACUACAUGCAUGGGGCUGCAAUGAGAAGGCAACUUGAUCUCCACUUCAAGCUGCUGCUAAUGGUAUGGUCUUCACUUGGGACGAUCUUGCCUCUGCGGUCUUUGGGAAACAACCAGCUUUCUUGACUACUGGAGGCAUGCAGUCCUUGGGGCUGCCAAUCUUUUUUGCAAUCUUGCAUGAGAUUUUUAGGCCAGGGACUGUCCUAGAUGAGGGCUCUAUUUCCAAAUCUUUAGGCGCUAUGUCUUCGUGAUUCGAGCCGCGAGAUUGGGUUGCUAUCAAGCCAACCACUUCUGGUUAUAGCCUACCACAUCAAGAGGCCAAGGCUUGGGCCAUUUUCACGGUCUUUAGCUGAGAUCCCUUUGCUGUCCCUCACUGCCCCAUUGGAGAUGUGAGUAUAACUCGCAUGGGGCUGCCAUGAGAAGGCAACUUGAUCUCAAUUUCUGGCUGUUAUAGAGGCUUGGUCGUCACUUGCCACCCUCUCAUCUGUGUAGUCUUUAAGAAGUAGCCUGUUGUCUUGACUGCUGGAGGCACACAAUUGUUGGGGACAAUAGGCUUUUCGGACAAAGAACACCUCAUAGGUGUCCCUACUUAUCUGUAAGGGAUCGAAAUGGCGCAAGUCAUAAAAUGUUGAACUGUAGAGGCUAUGAGCGAAGCUUCGAACACCUGUGUGAAGACACAGCGGAAUGAUCCACAGAGGGAGAGAGGACCUUCUUAUAAAGCCCAUUUAAUGGAGAGAAAAAAAAUAUUUGGAAUUCCAAAACUCAACUCUAGAUGAAAGGUGAACUCCUUCAUGAUGGAGUUACUAGAAAAUUGUUUCCCCAAAAAUGUGUAGGUGACGAUUAUGUAAUUAUGACUGCAAAAUUCAAGGAACAAUUCGCCCUGUGAAUUUCAUAGAAUGGAAAUUCAAGGGUUUUUACAUAUGAUUGGACUCGUGGGGAGUUCUAGGGACUUUCAAUUACUGGUACAAUUUGUUGGCCCACAUAGAGUGAAUCUUUAAGAUUUUCAUACGUAAAUAGAGUUAUAUCAACAUGCAAGAUGGGUUUUGAACUCAGUCAAAAAUAUCCACAAACAUAUGGCAUGCAAUUCUUAUCAAAAUACCCACAAAGAGUUACUGUAAAUUCUUUGGAACUCAAGAGGAUGUACAAAUGUCUCUAACUUUGUAAUCUACUAAAGAAUCUCAACCAAAAAUCAAUUGCAAUUAUUGAUAAGUUCUUCUAAGCAAUCUCAAUAGAAUUCCAGCAAGCAUGCACUCAUCAUAAAUCAUUUCAACAAUAUAAAAUAAUGUCUAAUACCUUUUUCCUUGCUCAUACAAUAUUUCUUAACCGUUUUUUAGUAUUUCUAGAUGCAAAGGAUGAAAAAGAAAGUUGGAACAAACUCACCAAAUUUAUAUGAAUUUGUAGGCACACUUUGAUAGCUUUUCUAGAGAGCGAAUGUAGAUGAAAAUGAGGUUUAUAGCAAUAUAUAGCACAAAAUAAAAUACAAGUUUCAACACUGGAGGGCUCUCACAGAUGAGAGGCACGUCCCUUGCAUUCAUUUCACAAUGAAGCAUAAGAGAGAGAAAGACGGUUUUAGGGAGAAAAAAAGAGCUCGUGCUUGG